UACAAAUGUAAAAUCAAUUCUGCAAUGUAAAGGAAGCCAACUCCCAUUAUUUCCAUUAAAAGCUGGCAGCUGAAGUGUGAACCAGCAUUAAAAGAUACAAUCCUGCAGACGUUUGGCAUGCAGUCUUCCUGUUUUUACCUGAAUGCAUCUAAAGGCGUGCGGUUAAUAUGAAACGUCUUCUGUAAUUGGAUCUUGCUGCGCCUUGUUAAUGUGUGUUUACGUGACGAAAUCCUGCAGCAAGGACAUAAAGGUUGUCGCAAUUUAUUUUUAGCAAGAGGGCCAAAGCUCAAAGUACAGCAGAGGAAAGACUUUUAUCGAGUCGUACCAAUUGUUUUUCAAAAAAGGGUCACUCUACAUGCAACCUUUUAAAUGUACUACAAGGAGGGAAGCUGGUUUGUUUUAUGCAUGGAUCCCUGACCUGUAUUCGGGUGGCAAAGAGAAACAGGUGUUUUGUUGGUGCGGACAUGGAGCUGUGUGCUGAGCAAGUUGCAGCGUCUGCAGCCAGCAGGAGCUCCGAGAGGCUCAGCAUGCGCACAUUCAGCCUCCAACCCCCCCCCGCAUCUGACAGAAGGAGCAGCAUGGAGGACUUUGCGGGAUUUGUUUACCUGCCCAUAAAACGGCACCAAGAGAUCAUGAACUUAACGUUCAGUCUGCAGCCUGCAGUGGAGAAAGCUGUGUGUGUGAGGACCCGCAGUAAGGACAAGAAUCCUUGUUUCUAGAGUCUCUCAAUCUCACAGUGAUGAUGCUGUCAGGAUGAAGGAAUCCUUGAAGUUGAGCCACUGAGACUCUUUAUUCCAGUUAAAGCGACUUGCAGCCGACACAAAAAUCCAAACUGCGAUUUUUGCACUGAAAUUGUUGUCAUGUCUGAAUCUUUGCACAUAUUAUUUUAGUGUUUAUGUAUAAUCUUAUUUGUGUAUGUUGCCGAUCAUGACGCUAACACAAGGAUAAAGUGGUUAGUUGAUAUUGGUAAAUGUCAUAGAACAGUAGGUUCAUCCAGUAAUGUCUCGUUUAUCUUCCUGUGUGGAAUUAUAUAAAUGAUGUCUUUGAUCGUAAAGAAAAAGAUAAUACUGGUGAAAUUAGUUCUAUAUUUUAGGCUAAAAAGCUUUUAUGUUACUGGCAAGGGAACACUUCAAGUCGUGCACAGUAGACACAUUGGACAUUUAGAAAAUACAAAUGAUAAAAUAAUUAAAUUGCAGAUCAUUAAAAUAAACAGUCAGAACAUGAUCCAGGCAGCUGUUAUACUUCACAGCAAAAUAUCAGCAAAAAGUCAUUGGGAAAUAAAUAAACACUAUUAAACCAGUUUAUUUUUCCAGACCACAUUUUCAAAUUGUACUUAACUGUCAUGUUGUUGAUCUGCAAUUAGUUUUAUAUAAAAUAUUGGUGAAAUGCAACGACCCUAAAGUACACCGUUACACUGAGAAAUUAAAUAAUUAUUUUUGUACAGAACAAAACAAUCCCUCAUUAAUUUAAAUAAAUAUAUGUUAAGAUCAAAUAAAUAGCUGCAUUUUACAGCCUUUGUCAUUUCAAAUUCAUUUGUAUUUUGCCUUUUUAAUCUGAUCACCAAACAGAUACCAUUUAAUACAUAAACAUACGUUAUUAGUUUAUUUUGUAUACCUGUAUACUGUUUGGGUUUAUGAGUUGAGCAAUAAUCUGACAUAACAAGAAAAACAGCAAUACAGAACAUUGGGUUUAUAUAUUAGGGCAAAUCGGUGAAUAUUAAAUAAUACAUUUUGAAGGCUUUGGUGAGAAAUACAGAAACUACAAAUCCUGGAAAACCUGGAAAACAUGUGAUUUUUUUUUGUCCUGGAAAAGUUCCGUUAAAUGAAAAUAUUUACCAAAUAGUUCCUGAAUAAGCUGCAUAAUGUACCAUUUAUACAACCCUGUAUUUUGGUAUGAAUGUUGUAUUGGUGGUGGUCCCUGUGGGAUUGAAACUGUAACUGUGCAUCACAAGGUUAUGUUUUUAGUGCCUUCUUCUUUGUAUUUCACAAUGUUUCUACAAUAAAGUUGUAAAUAUAAUUUGAA